AUGGGACUGUGUUAUUUGAAGGAGCUGCUUUCCUGCCUUCGAGUUUUCUCUUCCCCUGUAGCAGGGUUUUCUUUACAGUUUUCGCACCGUGAAAGUUGAGGAUUCCAUAGACAGAGGAAAGGCAAGAGCAGGCUUGCUCAUGGGUCUACCUUCUUGUUAAAAGGCCUCCUGAAAACUGAAGCUGAUACUGUUGCAUAGAAACCCUGUGAAGGAAAAUAUCUCUUGGAUAAAAGGCCAACAAUGCAAUUCUAAACUUCCCUGGGAGUAAGCCCUAAUUAAUUCAAUGGAGCUUCUUUCUGAUAAGAUUCCUACAGCAGGAUCAGGCACUCUGGCAACGCUGACUGGGAGUGCCACAUUACCUAUGCCUGGAUUAAAGAAUCAGGGGAGUCAGGGGAGUGAUGUGCUCCCCAGCUGUACAAGCAUUCUGGAGUAGACUAGUGUUGUUCUUGAGGAAUGCAAGCUGUGCACUACCAGUUGUUCUUUCCUGCCCUUUGCAGCCACCUCAAACAAUUUAUGAAGCUCCUUGGAUGUAAGGGGAAAAAUGAAAUGUAUUAAAAUGCCAUGACUUUGUACUUUUGCAUAAUGCCGUAAAUCUUCCUUUAUGAUGUACUUAAUGCAAAUAAUAUUACAAAAUAAUGUGCAUUAUGCACAUUUCUUAGGCUGUAAACGACUCAUGACACAAAAUUAGCCCAUUCAAUUAUAGAGAGGCUUUCAAACAAGAAGCUAAUGUGGGGAGCCUAUUCCUUCCCCACUGCUUUGAACAGCACUCUGUACAGCAUGUGUUUCAGGGUGUUAUUAAUUCAGCCAUGCUGUGAACUGUGGAAGUCUCUUUCCUUUUCAGAUUUCACACACGGAACACAUUCCCCACAUUUACUGUCCAUAUUUUCAUGUUAACUACCCUGUUUCCUGUAUUUUCUUUGAGUGGAGCCAACCACAUUAAACGUGUGGCAGACAAACGCAUAGCAGGUACACCACAGACUGAGCAGAUGGUGGCCUUUCAACCAACAUGUCAUACAGUGGUGUCCUGGUAUUGUUCAUAAAGGAAGGUGGCCUCUUCUUUUGGGACAGUAUUGGUUGGCUGCUGGUUUAAAUUCCACCUGUCCUGACACCUGCAAGCACAUUUUUACUGCAUAUGAUGAUAGACGAAAUCAUGGAACAACUGAACCGUAUGAUCACAUUUAAUGGCUUCGAACUAACCAGUCAAAAUGCCACUAUUAUGUGGUGAGCACGUUUUGGAUCUAGAGAUAACAACCAAGGCAAGAGUAGUCACCAUUAUGGACGAAGAGAGUUUCUGCUGCUUAAAUCCACUUCCUGGCAUCAGCAUUUUCAGUGGUCUUGUAAGAAAGAUCAAGGAUCUAAACAAUAAAAUACUGCCUCAAUAAUUUUGGUAUCCUUGCUGCAGUCUGUCCUUCCACAU